UACGAAGGGGGCUAGCGUUGCUCGGAAUCACUGGGCGUAAAGGGUGCGUAGGCGGGUCUUUUAAGUCAGGGGUGAAAUCCUGGAGCUCAACUCCAGAACUGCCUUUGAUACUGAGGAUCUUGAGUUCGGGAGAGGUGAGUGGAACUGCGAGUGUAGAGGUGAAAUUCGUAGAUAUUCGCAAGAACACCAGUGGCGAAGGCGGCUUACUGGUCCAUUACUGACGCUGAGGUGGCGAAAAGCGUGGGGAGCAAACAGG
rnacentral:rRNA from 1 species